AGUGGGGUAGCUCAACUCAUGAUUGACAGAGCACUCCAUGGUAAGGAGUAGAUGCGGGUUCCACUCCCGCCCCCACAC
rnacentral:tRNA from 1 species